AGUCCAGCAACAACGGAGGUUCCUCGAUGAACCCACCUUCUAACAAGUCAUUUGAAGAACCUUUUGGAACCCUACGGUUCUUAGGGGAUCUGAGAACAACUCCAGUUGAACCCUUAAUUUUUAGAGUGUAGUCAGCUCUAGUUACUCUCAGAUUCAAAUAUGCUGAUUAGCAUCAACGAUCAAGUCAGCUGCUGCUGCUGCUCCAAUACUGUAUGAGACCCAGUGACGGUGGAGCUCAGUCAGAGAGCUGUUGAGGGACUGGUUAGGAAGAACACUUCUACAGCCAGAGAGGGGCAGUCAAUAAAUGGAACGGCAAGGCCACAGAACAUGACAUAAUCAGAGCUGUGGGAGACCACCUCAAGCCCCUGGUAGAGCCGGGGGUGGUGUUUACCACUCCACCACGCCUUCAGCAGGCUUGAAAUGUGGGAUUGAUACUGUUUUUCAUACUAACAUGGACCAAGAGUCUGUUGAUUGGUUAGUCAUUGGGUUCAUUUGACUUACAAUAUGUUCAAAUCAAGCUUUAUUUAUACAGCACAUUUCAGACAUGGAUGCAACCCAAUGGAAACAAGAAAAACAAAAGAAAAACCCACACCAAACUUAAAGACAGGAAGCAACCGAGCUGUACGUGCUAAAGUCCAACCUCAAAACCUAAAUGGAAAAACCAAAGCCUGUAACUACCUUCCUCCUUAAGACAACAAAUAUAUCCUAUAUUUUUGUGGACAAGUUUGCUUACCACCAACUGAAAACAACUUCCAUUUCACAUUCUAAUCAACUACAAUGCUUCACUUUCACCAAUAUCAACAUGGUGUCUACUGGCUGUCAACAAUUAAAAACAAGAUAAAAACACGCACUUCUAAAUAAUAAUAUACAAUCGUAUCUUUUCUCCCUUUUCUUUCUAUAGAAUCCGAGAACUCUCGUCUUCCUUAAACUCACUAGCUUCUAGAACUCUCAUCUACCUACAACUCACUAGCUUCUAUUCCACUUGGAACGAGUCCAAACAAAACUCAUCUCCAAUACGGAAAAACGUGCAGUCAAAAUAAAUUGUGAUCAAAUGUACAGCCCUUUUAUUAUGUGUUGGCAAUAAUGAACUUAAUGGUGAGGCAUGGAAUAAUAAAAAUGUAUAUUUUGUCAAAGAUAAUAUUUUGAAAUAUGAGGUGAUUUGAGUCAUGAUUCUUCAGUUGUGGAAUAAAGACAAUUAGCACUUGAAUGUUGUCAAAAAAUACUGGAGUGAUGUAAGAUUGUUAAUGAAAUUGAUUAUAGAGCAAUUUAUUAUACUGCUUCCAUGUGUACUUAUUUAUUUUAACCUUCAUUUAACAAGCUGACAAGGUAAAAAUCUGUCAUUCUGCACCUGAACAAAGCAGGUAACCAGCAGUUCCCUGGUAGGCCGUCAUUGUAAAUAAGUCAGUUAAGACCUAAUUCUGUCUCACAAUGACGGCCCAACGCUCUAACCACUACAAACGCUACAACGCUACAAGACCAUGGUGCUUGCCUACGGAGCUGUGAGGGGAACGGCACCUCAGUACCUCCAGGCUCUGAUCAGG